rnacentral:rRNA from 1 species
UACGUAGGGGGCAAGCGUUGUUCGGAAUUACUGGGCGUAAAGCGCGUGUAGGCGGUCUGGCAAGUCAGAUGUGAAAGCCCCGGGCUCAACUUGGGAACUGCAUUUGAUACUGCUAAGCUAGAGUACAGAAGAGGUGACUGGAAUUCCCAGUGUAGCGGUGAAAUGCGUAGAUAUUGGGAGGAACACCAGAUGCGAAGGCGGGUCACUGGGCUGAUACUGACGCUAAAGCGCGAAAGCCAGGGGAGCGAGCGGG